GACAUAGGUCGCAAACGUUAUCCGGAAUUAUUGGCGUAAAGGAUGCGUAGAUGGUUCAGUAAGUUACUGGUGGGAAAUCGAGGCUCAACCUCGUGGAAGUCAGUAAUACUGCUGAACUUGAGUGCAGGAGAGGUUAACGGAACUUUAUGUGGAGCGGUAAAAUGCGUAGAUAUAUAGAAGAACACCAAAAGGGCGAAGGCAGCCAACUAUUCUACUCCUGACAUUGAGGCAUGAAAGCGUGGGGAGCAAACCGG
rnacentral:rRNA from 1 species